AUCCAGCUGGUGUGUCCCAAAUAGGACGAAACGUACGUCCUGGAU
rfam:Schistosoma curassoni strain Dakar, Senegal genome assembly, scaffold: SCTD_contig0000148